rnacentral:misc_RNA from 1 species
GCCUUAGCGCGCCUUGAGCCUUUAUCAUGCAAGGAACAAGCUUAGGGACCUGUAAAGCCAGCAAAUGCAAGGUAGUAAGUGGUUAUGGAGUUUUGUCCCAAGGCUUGACCAAUCAAUCAAUUUUAGUUUAGUAAUAGUAAAAUUAUCUCUAAAAUUAUAAAGUCUCAAUAUCAAGUCACAAUUGAAUCGAUUAUAUUAAAAAAAUUAUUAACAAUAAUAUACACAUCAUCUCUCCAUCUCUCUCGCUUGCACUCUCUAUCUUUGUCUUCCUCCAUCCAUCUUUUUAGCCUUCUCUCUCUUCCUAUUUGGGUCACUCUUUCAUUCAUCACUCUUUCCCGCUCUAACUCCAAUGAUGUAGCUAAGUGAAAGGUGGCAAGAAUGAACUCUAUAAACAUCAGAAAGGAAAAAAAAGUGAAGGGUAUAAGGACGUAAUUUGCCUAAUUGUGUAGUGCACUUUGGCCUGAUGAUAACGAGGCUUAGGGGACAAAUUUGUGAGGCCAUAUGGGUUAAAGUGGACAAUACAAUGCAAUUGGACAGGGCGUUACUGUCAUGACUCAAUUCUAUGGAUCAAACCCGCACUAGGGCUUGGGUCGGCUUAAGACCCUCAAAACCUAUAGUAAGCAUUACUAUUCACUAAUCCCAUAAUCAAGCCCAACUCAAAGCCUAAACUCAAAUAAAUGAUAAUAAUAAAUUAAUUUAAUUCAAAUAUGGGAAGUCCAACUCUACUCAAUUCACAACAUAAUAAUAUGUUUAAAAUAUUAACACCAUUUAGAAAUUAUAUUAUUAAACAAUAAAACAUUAAUAAUAACAUUUUAAAUCCUUAAAUUUUAUUUUAAAAAUUUCUUGGUGUUACAAUUACAAUAUGUAUUAGCUAGAAAAGAAACAGGAAAGAGAAAGGUGAUUUCAAAAGGGAAAAGAUGAUAAUAAUUUGAAAUGAGUAUUCAAAAUUUCUUAGGAAAAGUACACUUAAAUAUCCUGUACUUUUAACAUUCAGACUUGAGCUUUCUUUCUUUGGCACUUAAGUGACUUGUACUUUUCAGCCUUUUGCAUUUAAGUCCCAAAAAUAAAGAAUGGCAUUAAAAUUGCUAAUGUGGGGCUAACGUCAGCACAACGUUAGCCGUAUUAGCGACGUGUUAGCCAUUUUGUCUAAUGUCAUUAGUCAUUUUAUCCCUUAGGGGCCUUGGUGGGCUUUAUGUGCUUUAUUUAAUUUUAUUGCUUACAUUUAAUAUAUUAUUGAUUAAUUCAAGUCUAUAUACCAAAACUACAACAAAUUAAAAUAAAAAAGAAUACUAGUUAGAUGAAAAUAAAAAUAACAAAGUAAGAGAUAAAGUCCUAAAUGAGGUAGGUUUCCAAGUUGAACUUGGAUUGCUUUUCCAUCCUUAUUUUCAAGUAGGGAGGGAUUUCCCAUGCAAAUCUUAGUGUUUUUUAACUUAUCUCACAUCUAUUUAUGUUUCCCAAUUCACAUGGAAAAACAAAGAAAAUAGUUACUACGAAAUUAAAAUGCAUUAGAGUUUAAUUACAAUCCAAAUACAUCAGAUUUGCACAAUAAACAAAUAAAAUUCAAUUUACUGAGUAAAAUAGUCUUAAAAAUUACACAAAAAUUAAUUUAGACUCCUAAGAUACUAAACUAAAACAUAGAAAAGAAGAAACCCAAAAAUUAUGCAUCAAUGUGAUAUCCAAAAUUUACUAAAGACACCUAAUAUGCAGAAAUUCUAAAUUUGAGCAGAAAACUUACAAAAUUAAGGAAAAAUAGCAAAACUUCAUGAAGACUAUGAAAAUUUACUGGGACCUAAAUAAUAUGUCAAACUAAAAUAUGGUAAAAAUAAUUAACACAAAUCUUCAUAGACUUGGCACGCAAUUAGAGUCAUAGUGGGUUAAACCAAUUUCCAAACAGAAUUGGCAAUCAAACUUUUAAAACUUAUUCCUAAUUAUCUACAAUGAAUUAGAGAAAAAUAAAAAUAUGGACAUUUAUAGGACAUAUUUGGCUGCCAGUAAAAAAAAGAAUAAUACAAGCAAGAUUUGAUGUAGAAAAUUGUUACUGAUCAGAUACAAAAUUUGAAAAUUCAUAAUAAAUAAUAGAAAAUAACUUUUUGGGUGAUCCAAAAGGGUAUUCCAUGCGGAAACAACACAACAUAUCUAUGGGAGUCAUUAAAACUAGUAAAUAACACAAAUAACGUACUGAAAAUUGCAAAAAACCAAAAUGUGCAAUAGAAGUAUAAAUGGAGUUGUAAAGGCCCAUUUAGACCAUACCUUGUUUGAAGAUUGAUCUCUUGGAGUUGGAAGACUCCUUUGGCUCCUUGGAAAACUUUGGAAUGCUAGAAACUCAAUAAAGUAAAUUAAUUUGGUGUUUGAUUAACCUAAAUCUCUAUGAGACUAAUGUGAAAGUGUUUGAGUGUAGGUAAAGUAUGUAAGAUCAAUUGGGGAAGAAUUUCUAGCUAGAAGACCUCUCCCAUGCUAGUACUGUGCAGAAAAUACCAUAGGAUUUUCUAAUUUUUAGGUUAAUAGUCACCUCUAAAACCCUAAACAUAGCUAACUAUUUAUAGGAGAAGUAGGUGACAAGAUAAGGGUAACAUAUUCUAACUAAAUUUUGUAAUUUUUUAUGUGAUAAAUAACUUAAAAAUAAAAGAAAAUGGGAUAAAUAUCCCUUUGGCUGAAGUCUUUUUUAUUAAUUAAAAGGGUACAUCUAAUCUUACAGGCCUAGUUUACUUAUCCAGACUUGAAAUUAGGCCUGAUGAGCUUGGUCACCUAUCCUAGACUGGCUAGUAGUUCCCCUAGGCCCACUAGAGGCUUUAGAGAGCCUACGUUCAAACCUGGUUAAGUUACAUAGGUUCUAGUCUCUAUUUUGGUUUAAUUAAGCAUUAAAACCAUUUUAUUUUCUAAACUUAAUUCAAAUUUACUCCUAAUUAAUUUCUUACAUUAUUAAAUUAA